rnacentral:rRNA from 1 species
GUUGUAUGGUUAAGUGACUAAGCGUACACGGUGGAUGCCUUGGCAGUCAGAGGCGAUGAAAGACGUAGUAACUUGCGAUAAGCCCAGAUUAGGUAGUAACAACCAUUUGAGUCUGGGAUUUCUGAAUGGGGAAACCCACGUGCAUAAGCACGUAUCCUUACCUGAAUACAUAGGGUAAGGAGGCGAACCGGGGGAACUGAAACAUCUAAGUACCCCGAGGAAAAGAAAUCAACCGAGAUUCCGAAAGUAGCGGCGAGCGAAAUUGGACUAGCCCUUAAGCUUUACACGCGUUAGACGAACGGUCUGGAAAGUCCGACGAUACAGGGUGAUAGUCCCGUAGUUGACGACGUGUGUUCAGUGAAAUCGAGUAGGGCGGGACACGUGAUAUCCUGUCUGAAUAUGGGGGGACCAUCCUCCAAGGCUAAAUACUACUGACUGACCGAUAGUGAACCAGUACCGUGAGGGAAAGGCGAAAAGAACCCCUGUGAGGGGAGUGAAAUAGAACCUGAAACCGUGUACGUACAAGCAGUAGGAGCAGGCUUUGUCCUGUGACUGCGUACCUUUUGUAUAAUGGGUCAGCGACUUAUAUUCAGUGGCAAGGUUAACCAUCUAGGGGAGCCGUAGGGAAACCGAGUCUUAACUGGGCGUUCAGUCUCUGGAUAUAGACCCGAAACCAGGUGAUCUAGCCAUGGGCAGGUUGAAGGUUGAGUAACAUCAACUGGAGGACCGAACCGACUAAUGUUGAAAAAUUAGCGGAUGACUUGUGGCUAGGGGUGAAAGGCCAAUCAAACCUGGAGAUAGCUGGUUCUCCCCGAAAGCUAUUUAGGUAGCGCCUCGGACGAAUACUACUGGGGGUAGAGCACUGUUAAGGCUAGGGGGUCAUCCCGACUUACCAACCCUUUGCAAACUCCGAAUACCAGUAAGUACUAUCCGGGAGACACACGGCGGGUGCUAACGUCCGUCGUGGAGAGGGAAACAACCCAGACCGCCAGCUAAGGUCCCAAAUUACUACUAAGUGGGAAACGAUGUGGGAAGGCUCAGACAGCCAGGAUGUUGGCUUAGAAGCAGCCAUCAUUUAAAGAAAGCGUAAUAGCUCACUGGUCGAGUCGGCCUGCGCGGAAGAUGUAACGGGGCUAAGUAGUAAACCGAAGCUGCGGCAAUGUGCUUUUGCACAUUGGGUAGGGGAGCGUUCUGUAAGCGGUUGAAGGUGUGUGGUAACGCAUGCUGGACGUAUCAGAAGUGCGAAUGCUGACAUGAGUAACGAUAAAGGGGGUGAAAAACCUCCUCGCCGGAAGACCAAGGGUUCCUGUCCAACGUUAAUCGGGGCAGGGUAAGUCGACCCCUAAGGCGAGGCCGAAAGGCGUAGUCGAUGGGAAACGGGUUAAUAUUCCCGUACUUCUUACAAUUGCGAUGGGGGGACGGAGAAGGCUAGGUGGGCCUGGCGACGGUUGUCCAGGUUCAAGUGCGUAGGCUUAAGAGUUAGGUAAAUCCGGCUCUUUUUAAGGCUGAGACACGACGUCGAGCCAUCUACGGAUGUGAAGUCAUUGAUGCCAUGCUUCCAGGAAAAGCCUCUAAGCUUCAGAUUGUAAGGAAUCGUACCCCAAACCGACACAGGUGGUCGGGUAGAGAAUACCAAGGCGCUUGAGAGAACUCGGGUGAAGGAACUAGGCAAAAUGGUACCGUAACUUCGGGAGAAGGUACGCUCUCGACGGUGAAGUCCCUCGCGGAUGGAGCUAUUGAGAGUCGCAGAUACCAGGUGGCUGCAACUGUUUAUUAAAAACACAGCACUGUGCAAAAUCGUAAGAUGACGUAUACGGUGUGACGCCUGCCCGGUGCCGGAAGGUUAAUUGAUGGGGUUAGACUUCGGUCGAAGCUCUUGAUCGAAGCCCCGGUAAACGGCGGCCGUAACUAUAACGGUCCUAAGGUAGCGAAAUUCCUUGUCGGGUAAGUUCCGACCUGCACGAAUGGCGUAAUGAUGGCCACGCUGUCUCCACCCGAGACUCAGUGAAAUUGAAAUCGCUGUGAAGAUGCAGUGUACCCGCGGCUAGACGGAAAGACCCCGUGAACCUUUACUACAGCUUGGCACUGAACAUUGACCCUACAUGUGUAGGAUAGGUGGGAGGCUUUGAAGCACGUACGCCAGUAUGUGUGGAGCCGUCCUUGAAAUACCACCCUUGUAGUGUUGAUGUUCUAACGUCGACCCCUUAUCGGGGUUGCGGACAGUGCCUGGUGGGUAGUUUGACUGGGGCGGUCUCCUCCCAAAGAGUAACGGAGGAGCACGAAGGUGGGCUAAUCACGGUUGGACAUCGUGAGGUUAGUGCAAUGGCAUAAGCCCGCUUGACUGCGAGAAUGACAAUUCGAGCAGGUGCGAAAGCAGGUCAUAGUGAUCCGGUGGUUCUGAAUGGAAGGGCCAUCGCUCAACGGAUAAAAGGUACUCCGGGGAUAACAGGCUGAUACCGCCCAAGAGUUCAUAUCGACGGCGGUGUUUGGCACCUCGAUGUCGGCUCAUCACAUCCUGGGGCUGAAGUCGGUCCCAAGGGUAUGGCUGUUCGCCAUUUAAAGUGGUACGCGAGCUGGGUUUAGAACGUCGUGAGACAGUUCGGUCCCUAUCUGCCGUGGGCGUUGGAAGAUUGAAGGGGGCUGCUCCUAGUACGAGAGGACCGGAGUGGACGAACCUCUGGUGUUCGGGUUGUGUCGCCAGACGCAUUGCCCGGUAGCUAAGUUCGGAAUCGAUAACCGCUGAAAGCAUCUAAGCGGGAAGCGAGCCCUGAGAUGAGUCUUCCCUGAUACUUUAAGUAUCCUAAAGGGUUGUCGGAGACUACGACGUUGAUAGGUCAGGUGUGUAAGUGCUGUGAGGCAUUGAGCUAACUGAUACUAAUUGCCCGUGAGGCUUAACCAUACAACACCCAAGGGGUUU